rnacentral:lncRNA from 1 species
UGACACGACUAUUUCCUUUUUGCUUCUUGUUUUUGAUAGCAUUAACAGCUAUUAUAGAAGCAAAUGAACGGGAUUGUAAUGGAUGUUUAAUCGAGGGUAGAUGCCACAAAUUCGGACAAAAAUGGAUGGAAAAAACAGAUAUUAUGUGUGCUCGGAAACAGUGUCGCCGUAUGAGUCAAACCCAAUGGAAAGUAUUAGUAAAAAAAGUUUAUUGUCGGCAGAAUAAUGGCAGAUGUGUUGGGAAAAAUAAAACUUGGCCAAAUUUGGAAGACGGUGAAUGCUGGACACACAGGUGCCACAUUAAGGGAGGUAAACGCGUUGAAAUCACAUCAAAAUUAGGGGGAAAAUGUUAAGAAAAAAAAUUAAAUAGAUCGAUCUACACCUAAAACCAAAAUCAGUUUCAAAUAAAUUGGUGAAGAAUGGUAUACUAAUUAUACCAGACCAAGAUUUAAUCAUUCUAUCGUACACUCCUCAC